AUAGAGUUGAAGAAAAACAAUUAGUAGCCAAUAGCUUGUAGAUGAUAUUUAAAGGCAUGGGACAGAAUGAGCUCAUCUGAGGAAAGAAGACAGUUACAGAACAGGGCCAAGGGCCAAGCUGUGGCCUUAAGCCAAUAUCUUGAGGUCAGGAAAAGAAGAAAUUCAACGUAAGGAAUGACAGUGAGCUAGGAAAAGCAGAAAGGAUGUGACCAACUGUGUCAAAUGCUGCUGAGACGUAAAACAUGAUGAAGUCCAAGAAUUGACUGGAGGGUCUGGAUGGCCGAUACUAGGCAUGCAUGUGCAUACAGAAAAGAGAGUAACCCAAUAGUGAGGAAGAAAUUGAUGCUGCAGGAGAGAGGGAAUAAUUGCCGAAGCAAAGAUCUUGAGGUACUGAGAAAGGAUGACCCUAAUUUCCUUAAUGCUGCACCAGGAGGAUACCUCAGCCCCUGUAAUGGAAUUAAAGAAAUAUUGGAGCUGAUUCUGGUCCACCAAGAAGGGGAUGUGUUUCAG
rnacentral:lncRNA from 10 species